GGCGGCAGGCCUACACAUGCAAGUCGAGCGGUAACAGGAAGUAGCUUGCUACUUUGCUGACGAGCGGCGGACGGGUGAGUAAUGCCUGGGAAUUUGCCCAUUCGAGGGGGAUAACAGUUGGAAACGACUGCUAAUACCGCAUACGCCCUACGGGGGAAAGGAGGGGACCUUCGGGCCUUCCGCGAAUGGAUAAGCCCAGGUGGGAUUAGCUAGUAGGUGAGGUAAUGGCUCACCUAGGCGACGAUCCCUAGCUGUUCUGAGAGGAUGAUCAGCCACACUGGGACUGAGACACGGCCCAGACUCCUACGGGAGGCAGCAGUGGGGAAUAUUGCACAAUGGGCGAAAGCCUGAUGCAGCCAUGCCGCGUGUGUGAAGAAGGCCUUCGGGUUGUAAAGCACUUUCAGCGAGGAGGAAAGGUUACUGGCUAAUAUCCAGUAGCUGUGACGUUACUCGCAGAAGAAGCACCGGCUAACUCCGUGCCAGCAGCCGCGGUAAUACGGAGGGUGCGAGCGUUAAUCGGAAUUACUGGGCGUAAAGCGUGCGCAGGCGGUUUGUUAACGAGAUGUGAAAGCCCCGGGCUCAACCUGGGAACUGCAUUUUGAACUGAAACUAAGUCUUGUAGAGGGGGGUGAA
rnacentral:rRNA from 2 species